AUGGAAAUGGGAGCGACUGGCAGCAAGAUACUGAAGCAGGACAGGAGCACUGACCUCGGCGUCCGCCAGCAGCGCGAGGCGCGCGUACACCUCGUCCGUCGCCGCAUCCGCCUGCAAGCGCGCCACGAAAAUCACGCCAUCGAUCGAUCAGGAGACCUCGUUUCAGAAGAAGAAGAAGAAGCGGAACGGCCGGGCGCGAGGAUGGCAAGGGGACUCACGCAAAGCUCGACGCCGACGACGCGGCACGCCACGUGGGGCGGCACGCGCGGCGCCCCGGCCGGCGCCGGGGCCGGGGCCUCCCCGCCGCCCGCCGCGAGGUGCGCCUGCGGCAGGUACACGACGGCGCUCCCGCGCCUGGGCAGCGCCACCCCGGGCCCAGCGCACGCGUGCCACAGCUCCCCGCACACGCCGACAGCCGCCGCCUCCCCGUCCUCCUCCACGCUGUUCAGGUCGAUCCCCAUCGGUCGGUCCGUCGCUCUCCCCCCAGAGCUAGCUAGCUAG
rnacentral:rRNA from 1 species